UACGUAGGGCGCGAGCGUUGUCCGGAAUUAUUGGGCGUAAAGAGCUCGUAGGCGGCCUGUCGCGUCGGUUGUGAAAGCCCGGGGCUCAACCUCGUGGAAGCUGAUAAUACUGUCACACUAGAGUGUAGGAGAGGUUAACGGAACUCCAUGUGGAGCGGUAAAAUGCGUAGAUAUAUGGAAGAACAUCAAUAACGGCGAAGGCAGUUAACUAUUCUACUACUGACAUUGAGGCACGAAAGCGUGGGGAGCAAAACGG
rnacentral:rRNA from 1 species